ACUAUUUCAUGACUAACAACCAACCGCCGCAGGAAGAAGUGGUUUCGCAUUUCUCGGUGCGCGCUCGUCUGUCAUCUUUUUCUUCUCCUCCCGAAGCUCUCGUCCCUGUAUCUCUCGAGCUGGAGUGCUUCCCGUUUAUGGUCACCUUUAAUCCUUUUCCCUUUGGAGAGGCUGAAGUCAGCUUCAGGGCCGUGUGUGAGGCUCCGAGGGCAUUUCUUUGCAUUCCUCAUUCAUGUCUGGCUCGUUCCCAUGAGAAAGUCUCAGCCUACACCUCUGACACCAUGAAACGGCCACAGAAGAAACGACAAUGGUCCGAGCAGCAUCAGAGGCGGUGUGUGUGUGUGUGGGUGCGUGUGUGUGUGUGUGUCUGUGUGUGUCGGAGCACAGUGAAUCAUACAGUUCAAUAUUAGCAACAGUGAUGCUCUGUGCGAGUCUGUGGGAGAGCUUCAGGGUUUGUGUUCUUGCACUGUUGUGAAGACCAAUUACAUUUGAGUGAAACCCUUUGCUAGGAUAAUGAGAACAUACUGGCUGUUCCUUCGUUUCAUCCAAUAAUAAAUCAUAACUAAUUGACA